rnacentral:rRNA from 1 species
CAGAGGUCUCAAGCGUUGUUCGGAUUCAUUGGGCGUAAAGGGUGCGUAGGUGGCGCCGUAAGUGGGGUGUGAAAUUUCGGAGCUUAACUCCGAAACUGCAUUCCAUACUGCGGUGCUUGAGGACUGGAGAGGAGACUGGAAUUUACGGUGUAGCAGUGAAAUGCGUAGAGAUCGUAAGGAAGACCAGUGGCGAAGGCGGGUCUCUGGACAGUUCCUGACACUGAGGCACGAAGGCCAGGGGAGCAAACGGGAUUAGAUACCCCGGUAGUCCUGGCAGUAAACGGUGCACGUUUGGUGUGGGAGGAUUCGACCCCUUCUGCGCCGGAGCUAACGCGUUAAACGUGCCGCCUGGGGAGUACGGUCGCAAGAUUA